rnacentral:rRNA from 1 species
GGAUCAGAAAAUCCUCCUACCCCUAAGCAGGGUGAGGUAGUGGUAUUUGUUGACCAUAUAGGUUGUGGUUUCAAACCGCCCGGGUCAAAGUUUUUCCUGGACGUGCUUGCCAGUUUCCAGCUCCACCCUCAAGAUAUUGGACCCAACUCGGUGUCCAAUAUAUGCAACUUCCAAGUCUUCUGUGAAGUGUACUUACAAGAAGAACCAACUGCUGAGCUGUUCCGGGAUUUUUUUCAUCUGAACCGACGCACAGAAUUUGUAGACGGGCCCAACACUGAACUUGGUGGUGUCUCUAUUCAAAAACGGAAAGAGGUUGAGUUCCCUCAUGCCAAGCUGCAUAGUCACCCCAAAGAUUGGAACCAAACUUGGUUCUACUGUAAAGAUACCUCCCCUGAAGACAAGAACCCUCUGCCGGGCUAUCGUGCCCACCAGCUCUCCAACACUCAUCCAUUGCCGCAACGUUUAAGUGCUAUGGAACAGGCCUCGUAUGCCCCUCAACUCGCCAAGCUCCGAGCCUUUAUGGCCAACAGUUUAUAA